rnacentral:lncRNA from 1 species
CUGCAACGCCGUUGCCAGUGGAUGCCAGCGAGAGCCCAGUCGUGACUCGGAGCCCGCGUCUUGAGAGACGCGCUCCGGCUCGCCUCUCCUCUCGGGCAGGAGCGGCCGGGGGCUCGGGUUUCUGGCCCCGCGGCGCUCUGGACGGCUCGGGAGUCCAGACGCCGCCGCGGACCGGGAUCCAGAGAGAGCGCGCCCAGCCCGGCCUCGGUCCCCACCGCGGCCCGGAAGGAAUCCGGGCGGCCUCCGCGGAGGUGAGUGCCCGGCGGGGGCGGGCCGGGGCGGCGCGCGGCCGGGGCGGCGCCCGCGGGCGGGGCCUGCUCGUCGGGCGCCCGGAGCGCCUUGUUCCUCCAGAGGGACGGCGGACGGCUCGCCGGGCUCCCGCACCUCCUCGCAGAUGUUUACCAGGAUUCAUACAUCGGAUGAAAUGCCUGCCCUUUUCUUCUCACGAUGCUGGUUUAAUUGAUUUAUUUUCCCCUACGUGUGGGAAUUCAGAAAAUCAAAGGUUUCCAAUAAAAGUAAUAGCUUUGAGUAUUCAAGAACAAU